GUGUCUGUCAAUGUAGCUCUGGCUGGCAUGAAACACAGUGUAGCUGAAGAUGUCCUUGAACUCCUUCUAAUUGUCCCAUAUCAGACUCCAGUGUGCCUUGAUUAAAGGUCUGUACUACUAUGUCUGGAUAAAUCUUUAAAUUUUUAAAGCUUGCAUUUUAUUUAGUACGAGGUAGGGAAUAUGGCAGCAUGCAGGUACAGAGACAAGACAACUUGAGGGAAUCAGUUUCUUCCUUCUACUCUAUGGGUUUCAGGAGUCAUCGGGCUUGGUAACAAGUAAAUUGCACUUCAUCCUUUGGAGUUCUAAAAUAUAUUUAGCCAAUUUCUGUUGAUGAUGGAUAUA
rnacentral:lncRNA from 1 species